rnacentral:rRNA from 1 species
GACGAACACUGGCGGCGUGCUUAACACAUGCAAGUCGAACGAAAAGACGGAAAGAGCUUGCUCUUUUCAGAAUUGAGUGGCAAACGGGUGAGUAACACGUAAACAACCUGCCUUCAGGAUGGGGACAACAGACGGAAACGACUGCUAAUACCGAAUAAGUUCCAAGAGCCGCAUGGCCCAUGGAAGAAAAGGUGGCCUCUACCUGUAAGCUAUCGCCUGAAGAGGGGUUUGCGUCUGAUUAGCUGGUUGGAGGGGUAACGGCCCACCAAGGCGACGAUCAGUAGCCGGUCUGAGAGGAUGAACGGCCACACUGGAACUGAGACACGGUCCAGACUCCUACGGGAGGCAGCAGUGGGGAAUCUUCCGCAAUGGGCGAAAGCCUGACGGAGCAACGCCGCGUGAGUGAUGACGGCCUUCGGGUUGUAAAACUCUGUGAUCCGGGACGAAAAGGCAGAGUGCGAAGAACAAACCGCAUUGACGGUACCGGAAAAGCAAGCCACGGCUAACUACGUGCCAGCAGCCGCGGUAAUACGUAGGUGGCAAGCGUUGUCCGGAAUUAUUGGGCGUAAAGCGCGCGCAGGCGGCUUCCCAAGUCCCUCUUAAAAGUGCGGGGCUUAACCCCGUGAUGGGAAGGAAACUGGGAAGCUGGAGUAUCGGAGAGGAAAGUGGAAUUCCUAGUGUAGCGGUGAAAUGCGUAGAGAUUAGGAAGAACACCGGUGGCGAAGGCGACUUUCUGGACGAAAACUGACGCUGAGGCGCGAAAGCGUGGGGAGCAAACAGG